AUUGAACGCUGGCGGCAGGCUUAACACAUGCAAGUCGAGCGGGGGAAGGUAGCUUGCUACCGGACCUAGCGGCGGACGGGUGAGUAAUGCUUAGGAAUCUGCCUAUUAGUGGGGGACAACAUCUCGAAAGGGAUGCUAAUACCGCAUACGUCCUACGGGAGAAAGCAGGGGAUCUUCGGACCUUGCGCUAAUAGAUGAGCCUGAGUCGGAUUAGCUAGUUGGUGGGGUAAAGGCCUACCAAGGCGACGAUCUGUAGCGGGUCUGAGAGGAUGAUCCGCCACACUGGGACUGAGCCACGGCCCCGACUCCUACGGGAGGCAGCAGUGGGGAAUAUUGGACAAUGGGGGGAACCCUGAUCCAGCCAUGCCGCGUGUGUGAAGAAGGCCUUAUGGUUGUAAAGCACUUUAAGCGAGGAGGAGGCUACUUUAGUUAAUACCUAGAGAUAGUGGACGUUACUCGCAGAAUAAGCACCGGCUAACUCUGUGCCAGCCGCCGCCGUAA
rnacentral:rRNA from 1 species